rnacentral:rRNA from 1 species
GAUGAACGCUGGCGGCGUGCCUAAUACAUGCAAGUCGAGCGAACGGACGAGAAGCUUGCUUCUCUGAUGUUAGCGGCGGACGGGUGAGUAACACGUGGAUAACCUACCUAUAAGACUGGGAUAACUUCGGGAAACCGGAGCUAAUACCGGAUAAUAUUUUGAACCGCAUGGUUCAAAAGUGAAAGACGGUCUUGCUGUCACUUAUAGAUGGAUCCGCGCUGCAUUAGCUAGUUGGUAAGGUAACGGCUUACCAAGGCAACGAUGCAUAGCCGACCUGAGAGGGUGAUCGGCCACACUGGAACUGAGACACGGUCCAGACUCCUACGGGAGGCAGCAGUAGGGAAUCUUCCGCAAUAGGCGAAAGCCUGACGGAGCAACGCCGCGUGAGUGAUGAAGGUCUUCGGAUCGUAAAACUCUGUUAUUAGGGAAGAACAUAUGUGUAAGUAACUGUGCACAUAUUGACGGUACCUAAUCAGAAAGCCACGGCUAACUACGUG